UGCAGUCGAGGGGUAGAGGAAGCUUGCUUCCUUGAGACCGGCGCACGGGUGCGUAACGCGUAUGCAAUCUACCUUGUACAGGGGGAUAGCCCAGAGAAAUUUGGAUUAAUACCCCAUAGCGUAAUUGAAUGGCAUCAUUUAAUUACUAAAGUUCCAACGGUACAAGAUGAGCAUGCGUCCUAUUAGCUAGUUGGUGUGGUAACGGCACACCAAGGCUACGAUAGGUAGGGGUCCUGAGAGGGAGAUCCCCCACACUGGUACUGAGACACGGACCAGACUCCUACGGGAGGCAGCAGUGAGGAAUAUUGGACAAUGGGCGCAAGCCUGAUCCAGCCAUGCCGCGUGCAGGAAGAAGCAUCUAUGGUGUGUAAACUGCUUUUGUACGGGAAGAAACACUGCUACGUGUAGCAGCUUGACGGUACCGUAAGAAUAAGGAUCGGCUAACUCCGUGCCAGCAGCCGCGGUAAUACGGAGGAUCCAAGCGUUAUCCGGAAUCAUUGGGUUUAAAGGGUCCGUAGGCGGUUUAAUAAGUCAGUGGUGAAAGCCCAUCGCUUAACGAUGGAACGGCCAUUGAUACUGUUAGACUUGAAUUAUUGGGAAGUAACUAGAAUAUGUAGUGUAGCGGUGAAAUGCUUAGAUAUUACAUGGAAUACCAAUUGCGAAGGCAGGUUACUACCAAUACAUUGACGCUGAUGGACGAAAGCGUGGGGAGCGAACAGGAUUAGAUACCCUGGUAGUCCACGCCGUAAACGAUGGAUACUAGCUGUUCGGAGCAAUCUGAGUGGC
rnacentral:rRNA from 1 species